rnacentral:rRNA from 1 species
GUCCCUACGGGACGCAGCAGUGGGGAAUAUUGGGCAAUGGGCGCAAGCCUGACCCAGCAACGCCGCGUGAAGGAAGAAGGCUUUCGGGUUGUAAACUUCUUUUAUCAGGGACGAAGCAAGUGACGGUACCUGAUGAAUAAGCCACGGCUAACUACGUGCCAGCAGCCGCGGUAAUACGUAGGUGGCAAGCGUUAUCCGGAUUUACUGGGUGUAAAGGGCGUGUAGGCGGGAGUGCAAGUCAGCUGUGAAAACUAUGGGCUCAACCCAUAGCCUGCCUUUGAAACUGUACUUCU